CCUACGGGAGACAGCAGUAGGGAAUUUUCGUCAAUGGGCGCAAGCCUGAACGAGCAAUGCCGCGUGAACGAGGAAGGUCUUCGGCUCGUAAAGUUCUGUUGAAGGGGAAAAAGAGCGGAGAGAGGAAAUGGUCUCCGAUUGAUAUUACCCUUCGAGGAAGUCACGGCUAACUACGUGCCAGCAGCCGCGGUAAUACGGAGGUUGCGAGCGUUAGCCGGAAUGAUUGGGCGGAAGGGUGACGUAGGCGGCCUGCUAAGUCUGGAGUGAAAGGUACCGGCUCAACCGGUACAGGCUCUGGAAACUGGCGGGCUAGAGAGCAGGGGAGGGCGGUGGAACUCCAUGGGUAGCGGUAAAAUGCGUAGAUAUAUGGAAGAACACCAGUGGCGAAGGCGGCCGCCUGGCCUGUUGACUGACGCUGAGGCACGAAAGCGUGGGGAGCAAAUAGGAUUAGAUACCCGUGUAGUC
rnacentral:rRNA from 1 species